GACGAACGCUGGCGGCGUGCCUAAUACAUGCAAGUAGAACGCACAGUUUAUACCGUAGCUUGCUACACCAUAGACUGUGAGUUGCGAACGGGUGAGUAACGCGUAGGUAACCUGCCUGGUAGCGGGGGAUAACUAUUGGAAACGAUAGCUAAUACCGCAUAAUAUUGAUUAUUUCAUGAUAAUUGAUUGAAAGAUGCUAUUGCAUCACUACCAGAUGGACCUGCGUUGUACUAGCUAGUAGGUGAGGUAACGGCUCACCUAGGCGACGAUACAUAGCCGACCUGAGAGGGUGAUCGGCCACACUGGGACUGAGACACGGCCCAGACUCCUACGGGAGGCAGCAGUAGGGAAUCUUCGGCAAUGGAAGAAAGUCUGACCGAGCAACGCCGCGUGAGUGAAGAAGGUUUUCGGAUCGUAAAGCUCUGUUGUAAGAGAAGAACGGGUGUGAGAGUGGAAAGUUCACACUGUGACGGUAUCUUACCAGAAAGGGACGGCUAACUACGUG
rnacentral:rRNA from 1 species